UGGGGAAUAUUGCACAAUGGGCGCAAGCCUGAUGCAGCCAUGCCGCGUGUAUGAAGAAGGCCUUCGGGUUGUAAAGUACUUUCAGCGGGGAGGAAGGGAGUAAAGUUAAUACCUUUGCUCAUUGACGUUACCCGCAGAAGAAGCACCGGCUAACUCCGUGCCAGCAGCCGCGGUAAUACGGAGGGUGCAAGCGUUAAUCGGAAUUACUGGGCGUAAAGCGCACGCAGGCGGUUGAUUGAGUCAGAUGUGAAAUCCCCGGGCUUAACCCGGGAAUUGCAUCUGAUACUGGUCAGCUUGAGUCUUGUAGAGGGGGGUAGAAUUCCAUGUGUAGCGGUGAAAUGCGUAGAGAUGUGGAGGAAUACCGGUGGCGAAGGCGGCCCCCUGGACAAAGACUGACGCUCAGGUGCGAAAGCGUGGGGAGCAAACAGG
rnacentral:rRNA from 1 species